UACGUAGGUGGCAAGCGUUAUCCGGAAUUAUUGGGCGUAAAGCGCGCGCAGGUGGUUUCUUAAGUCUGAUGUGAAAGCCCACGGCUCAACCGUGGAGGGUCAUUGGAAACUGGGAGACUUGAGUGCAGAAGAGGAGAGUGGAAUUCCCGGUGUAGCGGUGAAAUGCGCAGAUAUCGGGAAGAACACCCGUGGCGAAGGCGGCUCUCUAGUACGGUACUGACGCUGAGACGCGAAAGCGUGGGGAGCGAACAGG
rnacentral:rRNA from 1 species